rnacentral:rRNA from 1 species
AACGAACGCUGGCGGCAUGCCUAACACAUGCAAGUCGAACGAAGUCUUCGGACUUAGUGGCGCACGGGUGCGUAACGCGUGGAAAUCUGCCUUUGGGUUCGGAAUAACAGUGAGAAAUUACUGCUAAUACCGGAUGAUGUCUUCGGACCAAAGAUUUAUCGCCUUUAGAUGGGCCCGCGUUGGAUUAGCUAGUUGGUGGGUAAAGGCCUACCAAGGCGACGAUCCAUAGCUGGUCUGAGAGGAUGAUCAGCCACACUGGGACUGAGACACGGCCCAGACUCCUACGGGAGGCAGCAGUGGGGAAUAUUGGACAAUGGGCGAAAGCCUGAUCCAGCAAUGCCGCGUGAGUGAUGAAGGCCUUAGGGUUGUAAAGCUCUUUUACCCGAGAUGAUAAUGACAGUAUCGGAGAAUAAGCUCCGGCUAACUCCGUGCCAGCAGCCGCGGU